GAUUUAUAAAGAAGCGGCGAGAGAUCAGGCUCAAUGACCCGCUGGCAACCCUCCAAAAUUGGAGAAGGUGCCAAUUCCUGUCCCGGAAAAUAACCCCGGGGAAUAUAAAUU
rnacentral:ncRNA from 2 species